rnacentral:rRNA from 1 species
UACGAAGGGGGCUAGCGUUGCUCGGAAUCACUGGGCGUAAAGGGUGCGUAGGCGGGUCUUUAAGUCAGGGGUGAAAUCCUGGAGCUCAACUCCAGAACUGCCUUUGAUACUGAGGAUCGUUGAGUUCGGGAGAGGUGAGUGGAACUGCGAGUGUAGAGGUGAAAUUCGUAGAUAUUCGCAAGAACACCAGUGGCGAAGGCGGCUCACUGGCCCGAUACUGACGCUGAUGCACGAAAGCGUGGGGAGCAAACAGG